rnacentral:rRNA from 1 species
GGUACUCGAGUGGCGAACGGGUGAGUAACACGUGGGUGAUCUGCCCUGCACUUCGGGAUAAGCUUGGGAAACUGGGUCUAAUACCGGAUAGGAACCAUCUUUAGUGUGGUGGUUGGAAAGUUUUUUCGGUGUAGGAUGAGCUCGCGGCCUAUCAGCUUGUUGGUGGGGUAAUGGCCUACCAAGGCGGCGACGGGUAGCCGGCCUGAGAGGGUGUACGGCCACAUUGGGACUGAGAUACGGCCCAGACUCCUACGGGAGGCAGCAGUGGGGAAUAUUGCACAAUGGGCGCAAGCCUGAUGCAGCGACGCCGCGUGGGGGAUGAAGGCCUUCGGGUUGUAAACUCCUUUCGCUAGGGACGAAGCUUUUUGGUGACGGUACCUAGAUAAGAAGCACCGGCUAACUACGUGCCAGCAGCCGCGGUAAUACGUAGGGUGCGAGCGUUGUCCGGAAUUACUGGGCGUAAAGGGCUCGUAGGUGGUUUGUCGCGUCGUCUGUGAAAUUCUGGGGCUUAACUCCGGGCGUGCAGGCGAUACGGGCAUAACUUGAGUGCUGUAGGGGUAACUGGAAUUCCUGGUGUAGCGGUGAAAUGCGCAGAUAUCAGGAGGAACACCGAUGGCGAAGGCAGGUUACUGGG